GUACACUCCUGCGGGAGGCAGCAGUGGGGAAUAUCGCACAAUGGGCGCAAGCCUGAUGCAGCCAUGCCGCGUGUAUGAAGAAGGCCUUCGGGUUGUAAAGUACUUUCAGCGGGGAGGAAGGCGAUAAGGUUAAUAACCUUGUCGAUUGACGUUACCCGCAGAAGAAGCACCGGCUAACUCCGUGCCAGCAGCCGCGGUAAUACGGAGGGUGCAAGCGUUAAUCGGAAUUACUGGGCGUAAAGCGCACGCAGGCGGUCUGUCAAGUCGGAUGUGAAAUCCCCGGGCUCAACCUGGGAACUGCAUUCGAAACUGGCAGGCUAGAGUCUUGUAGAGGGGGGUAGAAUUCCAGGUGUAGCGGUGAAAUGCGUAGAGAUCUGGAGGAAUACCGGUGGCGAAGGCGGCCCCCUGGACAAAGACUGACGCUCAGGUGCGAAAGCGUGGGGAGCAAACAGGAUUAGAAACCCUUGUAGUCC
rnacentral:rRNA from 1 species